rnacentral:lncRNA from 1 species
AGCCACAGCUGCCUGUUGUGGCUCUUGGUUUUCAGGGAAAAAGAAGGAAGGUUGCAGACACAGGGUCUUAAAAGUUAUUAUUUAUUUAUUUAUUUAUUUGUGCAGCAGCAUUAUCGAGCACUGUUUCACUUCUCACUUGGCCUCACUGUGCACUGCUAGAUCCAAAAGUGCUCGCUGCUGGCCCCAGAAACAUGCUUCUCCUUCCACCCCCCUGCUAGGAGCUCAUACAAAGAGAGUUUUGCUCCUAUUAUACUUCUUGAAUAUGCACAUUCUUGCUAGGAAAAAUAAAUAAGAAGAAAGCUGCAUUCCUCCUUAUUUCAUAUGCAUAUUGUAUAUUUAUUACAGUUUCUAUUAAAAAUGGUGAUCCUUAAGUUGUUCAAAUACUUUAGCUAUGAAAGAAUGAAAGAAGAUAUUCCCCCAAAAAAGUUUCUGUAAAUAGCCAAUUAAAAGGUUGGUACAACUAUGGAUACUAUAACAAUAUUUUCCAUUUUAUAACAUUUUUCUUCCAGACUGCACGUACACAGUUUGUCAGAUAUUUCUUCUAUGAUAUCAAGGAUACCAGAAGUAUUUUAAAAACUGCAUGCAUAAUAAAAUUACAGCUCCCAUCACCAAAAUGCAGCUUUCUUGGAGGUAGAAAGAUAACAGCUAGACAGACAUCAGAGCAUAUCAGGGAAAAUAAAACUUCAGCAUUUUGCCUAAUGACAGGAGAUUCAAGGGAGCUCAGCUAUGUUAAUAAAUACUUCUGAGUCCCUACUUCAUGGAAGGGAAGCUGAGAGCUUUGCUUGUGAGACAAGGCCCAUAUUUAACCCCUGUUUCUUCAAAUAUGCUCUUCUGAUACCAAUAUCUACUCCUGACUGCUGUGAACAUACAAAAAAAAGCUUUAAAUUCACUGUCAUCACUUAACACAGCAAGUUUUGCUCUUUCUUUCUUUGUCUUCAAGGAUUAACUUGGACCUAGAUCUCAAGAGACAAUUUCUAUAAACCUUCUACAGGGUUUUGUUUUUUUAAUUAUCAUUUUUGUUUUCUCCUGUGCAAAGAUCUCUUUAGGAUUCUGCUUUGUGGUCCAGUGAAGUAAAAAUAAAACUUUGACAAUCAUGGGGAAAUUUGCUGAU